GAUGAACGCUGGCGGCGUGCUUAACACAUGCAAGUCGAACGAAGCACUUUAUUUGAUUUCUUCGGAAUGAAGAUUUUGUGACUGAGUGGCGGACGGGUGAGUAACGCGUGGGUAACCUGCCUCAUACAGGGGGAUAACAGUUGGAAACGACUGCUAAUACCGCAUAAGCGCACAGGGUCGCAUGACCUGGUGUGAAAAACUCCGGUGGUAUGAGAUGGACCCGCGUCUGAUUAGCCAGUUGGUGGGGUAACGGCCUACCAAAGCGACGAUCAGUAGCCGACCUGAGAGGGUGACCGGCCACAUUGGGACUGAGACACGGCCCAAACUCCUACGGGAGGCAGCAGUGGGGAAUAUUGCACAAUGGGGGAAACCCUGAUGCAGCGACGCCGCGUGAGCGAAGAAGUAUUUCGGUAUGUAAAGCUCUAUCAGCAGGGAAGAAGAAAUGACGG
rnacentral:rRNA from 1 species